rnacentral:snRNA from 1 species
GGUUGUGAAAUCUGUCACCCCCAUUGACCACCAGGAUUGAUUCUGCUACGCUGGUGUCCCCUCCCUUCCCAUGUGCAUCUUUCUAGAAGCUCCGUGCUCCUUCGAAGAGGACAGCCUCUGGGGAAUAGAGACAGACUGUUAUUUGGACAAAGAGUCUACGUGUAGCAGCGCUCCUGGCUAGAUCAGCCAAAUAGUGCUCACAGCACAUGCUCAGUCCAUUGAGCAAGCUCUCAGGCCCUAGCUUUAGAGACUCUGACGGACUGUCAGUUAUU